rnacentral:rRNA from 1 species
GUGAGGAAUAUUGGACAAUGGGCGCAAGCCUGAUCCAGCCAUGCCGCGUGCAGGAAGACGCAUCUAUGGUGUGUAAACUGCUUUUGUACGGGAAGAAACACUCCCUCGUGAGGGAGCUUGACGGUACCGUAAGAAUAAGGAUCGGCUAACUCCGUGCCAGCAGCCGCGGUAAUACGGAGGAUCCAAGCGUUAUCCGGAAUCAUUGGGUUUAAAGGGUCCGUAGGCGGGUUAAUAAGUCAGUGGUGAAAGCCCAUCGCUCAACGAUGGAACGGCCAUUGAUACUGUUAGACUUGAAUUACAAGGAAGUAACUAGAAUAUGUAGUGUAGCGGUGAAAUGCUUAGAUAUUACAUGGAAUACCAAUUGCGAAGGCAGGUUACUACUUGUGGAUUGACGCUGAUGGACGAAAGCGUGGGGAGCGAACAGGAUUAGAAACCCUUGUAGUCC